UACGGGGGGGGCAAGCGUUGUUCGGAAUUACUGGGCGUAAAGGGCUCGUAGGCGGCCAACUAAGUCAGACGUGAAAUCCCCAGGCUCAACCUGGGAACUGCGUCUGAUACUGGAUGGCUUGAAUUCGGGAGAGGGAUGCAGAAUUCCAGGUGUAGCGGUGAAAUGCGUAGAUAUCUGGAGGAACACCGGUGGCGAAGGCGGCAUCCUGGACCAACACUGACGCUGAGGAGCGAAAGCCAGGGGAGCAAACGGG
rnacentral:rRNA from 1 species